rnacentral:lncRNA from 1 species
AAAAAAAAAAGGCUAGCCUACCAGUCUAGUUCCUUAAAUGCUUCCAAAACGGGAUGGUGCCUUCAUCUAUCUAGCCACCAAAUAGUUAGCAAGUAGCUAUGAUGUGCCCUUCGUAAAGCCAUGUCCGACUUGUGAGAAAGAACUAGUUUAGUUUAUAUCAAGAGUGCAUAGUUUACGAGCUUGCUAUUUCCUUGAGCAUCCGUGUGGCACUUGGAAACUUUGCUUACUUACAAUCGUCUCUUUCUUCUUCUUAUUACUAUUGUUAACCCUAUCAUAAAUUGACAAAUAAUGGAUUGACAGGUUUUAAAGCCUAAACCAUAAUUAAGCCGAACGAAGACCAAUAUGACCCAAUACGUUGC